UGAGGAAGACAGGCAAUCGCGAGCUGCAAAGCUCGAGGAAAGUCCGAACUCCAGAGAGCAGGAUGCUGGCUAACGGCCAGUGAGGGUGACCUCAAGGAAAGUGCCACAGAAACAUACCGCCCGGUAACAUCAUUACGCCAUAACUUGUUGCCGGGUAAGGGCGAAAUGGUGAGGUAAGAGCUCACCAGCAGUCAGGUGACUGGCUGGCUGGGUAAACCCCAUCCGGAGCAAGACCGAACAGGAGGAAUAGCAGGUCCCUUCGCGGACCCGCUUGCAGGUUGCUCGCCUGUUAACCUCCGGGUAGGUGCCUCUUCUACGAAGUUUAUCAGCGUCUGUAUAUCACCGAUCGCGCGUAACGCCUCGGGAU
rnacentral:RNase_P_RNA from 1 species